UCUCCGUUGGUGAACCAGCGGAAGGAUCAUUCAUAAUAAGUGUUUUAUGGCACUUUUUUAAAUCCAUAUCCACCUUGUGUGCAAUGUCAGGGUUGAUUUUCUCUCGAGAGGAUCAGCCCCAAACAUCAACUAUAUCUCAACUCUUUGUCUGAAAAAUAUUAUGAAUAAAACAAUUCAAAAUACAACUUUCAACAACGGAUCUCUUGGCUCUC
rnacentral:misc_RNA from 1 species